ensembl:lncRNA
CCACAAUAAAACAGUACUUGUAUGUUACCCUUUACAUUCAUACCCUUUAUUCAGGUUUUAUCUCUACACCUUAUUUAAUUGAAUAAUAAUAUUUCAGCUUCUUUGUCACAUCCACAAAGCAGAAAGUAAAGCAGAAAAGAGGAAGUAUACCCGGUAUAUCCGCCCACUGAAAAGCCUCAGAGUGAUGAGCCUGUGUGUAGUCUACAAUACUCUAUAUGUGGGAUAGACUCAUCAGAACUUCACUUAGAGGACAACUCUUCACAAAAGAUAACAAUGAACAUUACUGUCAUGAAGUUGGCUAUAGCUCAGAACAGUGAUGAAUUCAUACAUGUAUUGAAAUCUUCAGGUAAUAAUUUCAACCUCUCAGUGCUUAAAAGAGGAGACCUUAUUCUGAGGCAAUUGCUUGUCCCGGGUAAAAAGCUUUUCCAUGCUGGAAUUUACUGUGGAGAAAAUGAAGUCAUUCAGUUUACAUGUGCAGCGCCUCCAGCCCAAACCCAAAUAUCACCAUCAAGUUCUAGCUGCUCAAGUUCAAACUACCAAAGUUGUCAAUUACUGACAAAUCAACAGGGGCUUGUGGACAAAAUAAGUGUGAAAACAUUCAUCUCAGGCAAGCUCUUCCACGUUUAUCGGUUGAAGAAGGGCCCCCCUGAAGAUCUCUCUCAGAAAAUUUCUGAGGCAAUGGAUUAUAAUGAAGACUAUAAUCUCUUAAUGAAUAACUGUUUGCAUUUUGCACUUAAAGUUCUGGGGUUUUCACCAGGGCCCAUGCCAGAAAGCCCACCACAGGAUACAGAUGUGACACAAGACAUCAGUAUGGAUGAAUAUACUAAUUUGGUGAAUUAA